AUAGUCUAUUGGUAGCCGUACUGGAAACCGACACAGGUGGACAAGUAGAGAAUACUAAAGCGUUGAGACAACUCGGGUGAAGGAACUAGGCAAAAUAGCACCGUAACUUCGGGAGAAGGUGCGCCAAUUGUAGUUGUAGGCAUUUACUGUCGAAGGCGAGAUUGGUCGAAGAUACCAGGUGGUUGCGACUGUUUACUAAAAACACAGCACUCUGCAAACACGAAAGUGGAAGUAUAGGGUGUGACUCCUGCCCGGUGCUGGAAGGUUAAUUGAAGGGGUUAGCUCACCUUCAGAUAAUUUUUAAGAUACGAGGCAUCGCGAGUGAGCACGAGGGAGUGUACAAAUGAGUACAUGACCGAAGUGCGAGAAGACGCGAUAACGAAGUAGAAUGAAAGUUAUGUGAUGGUGAGCGAAGCUCUGGAUCGAAGCCCCAGUAAACGGCGGCCGUAACUAUAACGGUCCUAAGGUAGCGAAA
rnacentral:rRNA from 1 species